UCAGAUACCUGGCAGGAGAGAUACCAUGAUCACGAAGGUGGUUUUACCAGGGUGAGGCUUAUCUAUUGCACUCCAGAUGUGCUGACCCCUGUGAUUUCCCCAAAUGUGGAAAACAACCUUAUAAUUUGUGCUGGUGGAGGACUGUGUUCACACUCUUAAA
ensembl:snRNA U1 U1 spliceosomal RNA